UACAGAGACUGCAAGCGUUAUUCGGAUUCACUGGGCGUAAAGGGUGCGCAGGCGGCCAUGUGUGUGAGGCGUGAAAGCCCGGGGGCUCAACCCCGGAAUUGCACCUCAAACUACAUGGCUAGAGCAUUGGAGAGGGUAGCGGAAUUCACGGUGUAGCAGUGAAAUGCGUAGAUAUCGUGAGGAACACCAGAGGCGAAGGCGGCUACCUGGACAAUUGCUGACGCUCAGGCACGAAAGCGUGGGGAGCGAACGGG
rnacentral:rRNA from 1 species